ensembl:lncRNA
AUUUGGAUGUCUUAGCACACACAGUGAAAGUGCUUUCCUUUGUAAAUAAGAGAAGGAACAGGCUGCCGAGCUUCUCAUCCUCCCCGCUCUCAAAAGGCAAUUGGUUCAUACAGACAGCCAAUCUGAGAAGGCUUCAGAGAAACAGGAUCUGAAAACCAGGCUUGCUGAUAAAAAAGAAGGAAACAAAAGGCAUGCCACUGUCAAGAAAGACAAUAGAGUCCUGCAGACUUCAUGGAAUGGUAACAGGGAGAAGAAGAGGACCCAAAUUAUUGCCCAAAGGAGAGGAGAGCCCUGGAUCUCCAAGUCUCCCCCUGCAGUGCGGAUAGGACAUCCAGGAGGAAAACUGGGGAUUCAUUAAGGACCUGAAGCUCCCAUUCCUUUAAGAUGCACUCAAGCAAGAUAUUGACUGACUGUUCUGCCUAAAGAGCUAAAAUAUCCUCCUCCUUUAUAAGCGGCAAAUUAUCACACUGGACAUUUUUUCAGAUGGACUUCCAGAGAACAUAAUAGUCUUGAGAUACCUCAUCCGACCUGAAUCCACAUCACAGCUCUGAGAGGUGAAACCUUGUAAAAUCCGUGAGUCAAAUUCCUUCCUGCAAUACAAACUUCUUUCCUCAGAUGAGUUACAGAGAAGAAACCCGAGGACAGAAUUCAACUCCAGUAGGAAAAGAAUUUUAACAGUAACGAAACAAGCAACAAAACAUCAGGGCAACAUCAGGGCAUUUAAGAA